CUAAAGAGCUAAUUUCAUGUACAAACUCAUUUUCAUGCUUAGCAAGGCAUUGGUUGUUAACUAAGCAGACUUGCUCCCACUAGUAAAUUGAUGUGUUACAUUACUGUGUGUUUCUGGGGAGGGAUAGGGGGACAAUAAUGUCUUAAUUAUUACUUAAUUUAACUGUAUUGUAUAUGUUGAACUGUAAAUACUUUGUAUUUUAAUGUGCCAUCUACCUGCCAAGGGACUACGGGCAGAAAUUAGCAAUUUGCUACAACCUGGCACAAUACAUCUAUUAAUGUUUUUGUAUGCACUGUCCCUGUACAAUUACUUUUUAUU